AAUAUUUAUUUAAUUUUUUGUAGAAUAUUUUACAAAAAGAGCACUUUUUGUAUACACGACAUUUCAGCCCAACAGAGCAGCCUUAGCGUGGAGGUGGGCGGCGGCAGCGAGAGCGCCGGGGGCGGCGUAUGCUGCAGGAGCAGCAUAGGCGACGUGUGCUGGGGCGGCGUACGCCACAGCGGGGGCGGUGUAGGCGUGGGCGGCGUAGGCGUGGGCGGCGUGGGCGGCCAGGGUGGCGGCGCCGUUGACGACGGCGUCACGGGCCUGAGUCUGGGCGACGGCAGUCAGGUGCGCGGCUUUGGU